ACGGCCGCAAGGUUAAAACUCAAAUGAAUUGACGGGGGCCCGCACAAGCGGUGGAGCAUGUGGUUUAAUUCGAUGCAACGCGAAGAACCUUACCUGGUCUUGACAUCCACAGAACUUAGCAGAGAUGGAUUGGUGCCUUCGGGAACUGUGAGACAGGUGCUGCAUGGCUGUCGUCAGCUCGUGUUGUGAAAUGUUGGGUUAAGUCCCGCAACGAGCGCAACCCUUAUCCUUUGUUGCCAGCGGUCC
rnacentral:rRNA from 1 species